GAUGAACGCUAGCUACAGGCUUAACACAUGCAAGUCGAGGGGAAACGGCAUUGAGUGCUUGCACUCUUUGGACGUCGACCGGCGCACGGGUGAGUAACGCGUAUCCAACCUUCCCAUUACUGUGGGAUAACCUGCCGAAAGGUAGACUAAUACCGCAUAGUCUUCGAUGACGGCAUCAGAUUUGAAGUAAAGAUUUAUCGGUAAUGGAUGGGGAUGCGUCUGAUUAGCUUGUUGGCGGGGUAACGGCCCACCAAGGCGACGAUCAGUAGGGGUUCUGAGAGGAAGGUCCCCCACAUUGGAACUGAGACACGGUCCAAACUCCUACGGGAGGCAGCAGUGAGGAAUAUUGGUCAAUGGACGGAAGUCUGAACCAGCCAAGUAGCGUGCAGGAUGACGGCCCUAUGGGUUGUAAACUGCUUUUGUAUGGGGAUAAAGUUAGGGACGUGUCCCUAUUUGCAGGUACCAUACGAAUAAGGACCGGCUAAUUCCGUGCCAGCAGCCGCGGUAAUACGGAAGGUCCAGGCGUUAUCCGGAUUUAUUGGGUUUAAAGGGAGCGUAGGCUGGAGAUUAAGUGUGUUGUGAAAUGUAGACGCUCAACGUCUGACUUGCAGCGCAUACUGGUUUCCUUGAGUACGCACAACGUUGGCGGAAUUCGUCGUGUAGCGGUGAAAUGCUUAGAUAUGACGAAGAACUCCGAUUGCGAAGGCAGCUGACGGGAGCGCAACUGACGCUUAAGCUCGAAGGUGCGGGUAUCAAAACAGG
rnacentral:rRNA from 1 species